AUUGAACGCUGGCGGCAUGCUUUACACAUGCAAGUCGAACGGUAACAGGGUGCUUGCACCGCUGACGAGUGGCGAACGGGUGGGUAAUACAUCGGAAUGUACCCAGUAAUGGGGGGUAACGCUUCGAAAGGAGUGCUAAUACCGCAUACGCCCUGAGGGGGAAAGUGGGGGACCGCAAGGCCUCACGUUAUUGGAGCAGCCGAUGGCUGAUUAGCUAGUUGGGGAGGUAAAGGCUCACCAAGGCGCCGAUCAGUAGCGGGUCUUAGGGGACGAUCCGCCACACUGGAACUGCGACACGGUCCAGACUCCUACGGGAGGCAGCAGUGGGGAAUCUUGGACAAUGGGCGAAAGCCUGAUCCAGCAAGGCCGCGUGCGUGAAGAAGGCCUUCGGGUUGUAAAGCGCUUUUGUCUGGGAGCAAAUCCUGGCCUCUAAUACAGGUCGGGGAUGAGAGUACCAGAAGAAUAAGGACCGGCUAACUACGUGCCAGCCGCCGCCGUAA
rnacentral:rRNA from 1 species